AAUCACUUAAAAUCCGCUGAUUCAAACCUUAAUUAAUUUUGGUGAAUAAAUUUAAGAAAAAGUGGUGAAAGCGAGUGACGAUUCAUUUCUAAAAAGUAAAGAGUCACGGACCCAGAAAAUACAUUUUCACAGAUCUAAUAAUCUAAUGGAACUAGCAUCUCAAAAAUGAAAAAUCCAAGGCGGUGGAAGAUAGAGGAGAGAGGAGAAAGUAAGAAGCAGAUGCAGUUAGGUCCUAAUCGACUGACGAAUCUGAAAUUGGGAGUUUUUGGCGGCUGUAGUAAGACCCGCAAGCUCUGGCCGGAGAAGCAUGUACGAUAUGAUCGCGCCCAAUUCAUGGGAUGGGAAAGGAAUGUCUGUCGGCAAGGGCGGACCCAGAAAAAAUUGGUAGAAAAAGUUGCAAGUAGGAAUUUGUUUGUUUUCCAAUGCUCUGCUUUCAGGCAUUUUUGGCAGCUGGACUUAAAUCCGCCAGCACUGGCCGGAGAAGCAUGUACGACAUGAUCGCGCACAAUUCAUGGGAUAGGAAAGGAAUGUCUGUCGGCAGGAUUGGACGCAGAAAAUUGGUAGUAAGAGUUGCAAGUAGGAAUUUGUUUCUACAUUGCUAUUGGCUUGUUAAGGGCUUAACAUGUUUUUUUUUUAAAAAUUUAGAAAUUUAGAAAUAGAAAAUACUCUCUCCGUCCCACAAAGUAUGUCGCAUUUUUCCAAUUUCAUAUGUCCCACAAAGUUUGUCCUAUUUGGAAUCUUCACAUUGAAUAUACCUCUCAAUCCCCUCUCCUCAA